GGCCGCCUGGCGAAAUGGCAUCGCGUCUGACUACGAUUGAUAAUCAAAAUCAGGAGAUUGCAGGUUCGACCCCUGCGGUGGUCA
rfam:Moniliophthora roreri MCA 2997 sctg_0112_0001, whole genome shotgun sequence.